AUGCGCCAAACAAAUACAUUUGCCUUGCUUUGCUAUAAUUACACGGAACUACAAAGCUGCUUUUUUUGAAGGCUCAACGUCGCCAAGUUGAACGCCUGCAGAAAUUACACAAACAUCACGAUGUAUGUGAAAGUCGUUAUGAAAAGGCAAGUGCAGAAUUGUUAGAGAUGGAGAGAGCGCAAACAGCGGUCUUCCAUCGUCGUCUGUUUUCAACGGUAAUGUUUCCUUCACGUUUUGAUAACAUACCUCAGGGUGAAAAACAUUAAUUCCUACUUUAUAACCUUGGUUUUUGCAUCUCCAUGCUCCUCUGUCAUGUAAUUAUGGAUGCUAAUCAAUAGCACAGCACAAUAACAGUUUACCUCGUAAACAAUAUCCACAUUUUCAGCACUUCAUACUUCUGUAUUAGUUUAAAUAGUUUCCUUCACCAUUGUUUUGCAGAUGCAAGAACAGACACAGAUAGAUGGAGAAAUGUUGGCAGAUAACAAGAAUGCAGAGAUAAUGGAACCCUUGAUGAAUACAGACAGCAUGAUGCUGAAUGAAGAAAUGGCUGGAGAAGAUGGAUUUUCACAUUCAAGCUCCAUGUCCAGCAUUUCCACAGAUGAGUAUGUACCAGAGUCAUCAGAGGACAGUUCAGAGGAAUCACCAAACCAGAGUCCUGCCGCAAAGAGGAAUAAGUUUAUUCCUUUGAAAGAAAACUCAAAAUGCCGCCGCAAAGGACAAAAAGGAGGAACUUCAAUGACUCAGAACCAGGAGGAGCAUCACAACCUGCAGCUUGAUGAUGAGCAACGUGUAGAAGGGAAAACUACAGUGACUGAGAUCAAGAAGGUGGCCGUAGAACAGGAGCUGGUAGUGGACAGUUGCAGCUCAAAAGGUGAGCUCACACAUUUGUCAUGCUCGUCAUCUUCAAGUGUAGAAAAAACCCUGAGAAUACAGGAAUAACAAGGCCUCAGCAUUGGUUCUGUGAUCC
rnacentral:lncRNA from 1 species